GGGAUGUGCUCAGAGCCAGGGACCUGCAGAAUUGGUUCUCUGUUUAAAAUAUAUCCAACAGUAAUUUGGGUUUACUCCUCAUAUGUGUCAGGGUAUUUUGGCCUUCCUGUGACUUCAUAACCUGCACAU